GGCUGUAAUUAGGACGGAUCAGUCAUAGAGCGGUGUUUGAUAUUGGGAUAUGGCUGGGGGCUUUAUGUUAAUAAUUGUAGUAAUAAAGUUAAUGGCUCCUAAAAUAGAAUACCUGCCAAGUGAAG